CGGACCCGGGACCGGCCGACGGUACGGUAGAACAACGUACUACCACCUACGCCUCAUACUCGGGGAUAGCCUUUCGAAAGAAAGAUUAAUACCCGAUGUUAUAGUCCUACCGCAUGAUGGGAUUAUUAAAGAAUUUCGGUAUGGGAUGGGGAUGCGUUCCAUUAGUUAGUUGGCGGGGUAACGGCCCACCAAGACAACGAUGGAUAGGGGUUCUGAGAGGAAGGUCCCCCACAUUGGAACUGAGACACGGUCCAAACUCCUACGGAAGGCAGCAG
rnacentral:rRNA from 1 species